AGCGAACGCUGGCGGCAGGCUUAACACAUGCAAGUCGAACGGGCAUCUUCGGAUGUCAGUGGCAGACGGGUGAGUAACACGUGGGAACGUACCCUUCGGUUCGGAAUAACUCAGGGAAACUUGAGCUAAUACCGGAUACGCCCUUUUGGGGAAAGGUUUACUGCCGAAGGAUCGGCCCGCGUCUGAUUAGCUUGUUGGUGGGGUAACGGCCUACCAAGGCGACGAUCAGUAGCUGGUCUGAGAGGAUGAUCAGCCACACUGGGACUGUGACACGGCCCAGACUCCACCGGGAGCCGGCGUUGGGAAUAUUGGACAAUGGGCGCAAGCCUGAUCCAGCCAUGCCGCGUGAGUGAUGAAGGCCUUAGGGUUGUAAAGCUCUUUUGUCCGGGACGAUAAUGACGGUACCGGAAGAAUAAGCCCCGGCUAACUUCGUG
rnacentral:rRNA from 1 species